rnacentral:lncRNA from 1 species
AUCUACUGCUCCAGUUCACAUACUGCGAGGUACUAGCUUUGAUGAGAUCUGGUUUUCUGGAAAAAAAAAAAAGGUCUGUUAAAGGGAGAAGGAACUCAGUGAAUAUUGCCCUGGGUCCUGGUAAUUCCACCUACUGAAGACAACUGCCCCUUCUGCUCAUAUUUCCUGAGUCAACAUGGCCGUUCCUAACUUUGAAGAGACUUUAGACAUUCUUUGUUACAAUGAACCUAGAAGAAAGAAGAGAAAUAUUACAGCGACUGUGCCCGGGACUGUAAGGCGGAUAAGACCCAGCAGAAUAACUGCCAUGGAAGGAUGCUCCUCCUGCCAAUUGGCACUUAUCAAUGACAUCGAGGGAGAGGGACAGAGUGCCUAGGUAUGAGCCUUCAUCAAGUGGUAUGAAGGCCCUACCCCAACAGAAAGUGCUGAUGUGAUGAAAUGGUGCUUUGGACAAGACUUUUCCUCCAAGUUGGUCCUAUCCAGGGGUUGGCAAACAGGGUCCCUGGACAUCAUCCAUGUGGCAUACUCUUAUGAAUAAAGUUCUAUAGGACACAGA